rnacentral:tRNA from 1 species
GCCUGGGUGGCUCAGUUGGUUAAGCAGCUGCCUUCAGCUCAGGUCAUGUGGGAUCGAGUCCCACAUCGGGCU